rnacentral:rRNA from 1 species
UACAGAGGGGGCAAGCGUUGUUCGGAAUUACUGGGCGUAAAGGGCGCGUAGGCGGCCUUCUAAGUCGAACGUGAAAUCCCCGGGCUCAACCCGGGAACUGCGUCCGAUACUGGAAGGCUUGAAUCCGGGAGAGGGAUGCGGAAUUCCAGGUGUAGCGGUGAAAUGCGUAGAUAUCUGGAAGGAACACCGGUGGCGAAGGCGGCAUCCUGGACCGGCAGUUGA